rnacentral:miRNA from 1 species
AGGACGAGGGGAACGGCGGCG